rnacentral:lncRNA from 1 species
UGCUGGGCCGGCCUGUUGGACUGCUGGGCAAACUGGGCCUGGCGCUGUGGGCCUUCUGGGCUGGUCUGCUGCUGCCUAGAUGCCUGCUGGGCCUUUGCUGGAAAUGGGCUGCUGUUGGCCUGCUAACAAAAAUGGCCUGCUGUGUUUUUUUUUUGCUGUUUGCUAUUUUUUUAGGGGCUACUAUUUUUUUGGGCUGCUGGGCUGCUGUUUUUUAUUUGGGCUGCUGGGCUGAUGCGGGUCGGGCCUGGUGCGGGUUGGGUCAGGUCGACCCGACUGAUGGUAUGUUUUUCUUUUUCUUUUUUUCUAUUUUAUUUCCCUUUUUCCUUCUUUUUCUUUCUUUUUUCUUCCUUUUUUUCUUUCUUUUUUCUUUCUUCUUCGGGUCACCCCUAGCCCUUUUUUGCGCCGUCAACGACGGUCCCUCCGUCCGGUGGUGCGGUGACUGGCGCGCCUCCCUUCUCUUCCUCUCUCUCUCUUUUCUUUCUUCUCUUCUUUCUUUUCUUUCUUCUCUUCCUUCUUUUUGGCUGCUGUUUUUUUGCUUGCUAUUUUUAUAUUUUUUGCUUGUUGCUUUGUUUUGCUAGGUGUUGGCAAUGGUGGUGUAGGGCGGUGGACACGGUGGCGCUACGACGACGGUGGCUGCAGAAGGAAUCGGCCGAAUGGGAGUGUUUUUUUUUGCUUGAAAUCUUGCUUUUUUUUUUUUUUGCUUUCGUUCACAACAAUUUAUUUUGAACCCCCUCUUCCUCUCAUCUUCUUCUUUUAAAUCCUUCAAUUUUGUCUUCUUUCCUUUGUUUUCAGGUGGUAGGGGAACAUCAUUGGCCUAGGGAGGCUGCUGGAGUAGCUGGAGGUGGGUGAAGCACGCUUGGCUGCCGACUGGCAGAUUUGACAUGUCUAGGGGGACCAAAUUGUAAAGGGUGUAAAGUUUAUGGGGCAAAAGUGCAAUUUUAGCAAAAAUAUGGGCCAAAAUGUAAUUUCUUGAGAGUUUAGGGGUUAAAGGGAAAUUUUAAGAAAAUUUAAGGGCCGAAAUGUAAUUUUAGAAAAUUUUGGGUCAAAAUGUGAAUUUUAAAAAAAAUUUAGGGUCAAAAUGGAAAUUUCAAAAAGUAUAGGGGUUAAACUGUAAUUUUUAUUUUUUGCUUUUUUUUUCAAAAUUUUAUUAUUACUAAUUUAUUAAUAUUUAAAACAAAAAUUAAAACAAUUAAAAAUGAGCUAAAACAAACCCAAAAUUUAAUCCUAAUGGGCCCAACCAUCGGGCCCAUAUGAGACCAGCCCGGCCCGAAAUUCUACCCGGGCAAAAUUCAGUGAUUACAGCUGCCCCUCUUUGCUCAUCUCUGUGAAACAGAGAUAGAGCAAAGAUUUAAAAGCACUGAAUUUUGCUCGAUUGUUCCAUUUUUUGUCUAUAUUUUUUGAAAGCCUGAAAUUGAAAAUAGCUUGGUGUGCGAUCCUAAGUUCACUCACUUCUCAGAUUGUGAGUUGACCUUUGAAAAAUAGAUAUUGAAAGUACCUCAGCGUAACCCGAGGCUCAACGCACCUCUCGCAUUAUGAGUUAAUUUUUUUUGAAAAACGGAAAUUUAAAAGAAAUACCCCGGCAUGUGACCUAAGGCUCAACUCACCUCUUGCAAUAUGAGUUGGUUUUUGUGAAAACCAAAAAUUGAAAAAUACCUCGACAUGACUCGAUGCUCAACUCACAUCUCGCAAUAUGAGUUGAUUUUUGAAAAACAGAAAUUUAAAAUACCUCAGCGUGCGACCCGAGACUCAACUCACCUCUCGCAAUAUGAGUUGAUUUUUGAAAAACAGAAAUUGAAAAUACCUCAGGAUGACCCGAGGCUCAACUCACCUCUCGCAAUAUGAGUUGAUUUUUGAAAAACAGAAAUUUAAAAUACCUCAGCGUGUGACCCGAGGUUCAAUUCACCUCUCGCAAUAUGAGUUGAUUUUUGAAAAACAGAAAUUGAAAAUACCUCAGGAUGACCCGAGGCUCAACUCACCUCUCGCAAUAUGAGUUGAUUUUUGAAAAACAGAAAUUUAAAAUACCUCAGCGUGCGACCCGAGGCUCAACUCACCUCUCGCAAUAUGAGUUGAUUUUUGAAAAACAGAAAUUGAAAAUACCUCAGGAUGACCCGAGGCUCAACUCACCUCUCGUAUUGUGAGUUGAUUUUUGAAAAAAAAAAUUUAAAAGAAAUACCUCGGCGUGACCCGAGGCUCAACUCACCUCUCGCAAUAUGAGUUGAUUUUUUUGAAAAACAGCAAUUUAAAAAUACCUCAGCGUGACCCGAGGCUCAACUCACCUCUCGUAUUAUGAGUUGAUUUUUGAAAAACAAAAAUUGAAAAAUAUAAUUCUUGAAAGAAACAGGGUUUCAAAACAUCAGGUGAAACUAAAGCCUUCUUCUUCGUUGAUUCUGUGCAACUUUCUCUCAGUAUUCCCUGCUCUACUAAGAUACCUGUAUAUGUCAUGUAUGAUGUUAUUAUGAUAUGCACGUGUUUGUCCUAAAUGCUUUCGUGUCUACAUGAUCAUGCCAUGCACCCUAGGCUGUUUGUCACAUGCCCCACUUUUGAUUUUCGUGAGGUUCCGCAUUCAUUUCCUCAAUUCCUGACUUUUCUCUCCAGUUUUGUACUCAUCCUCAAGUUCUGUGAGUAAUUCACAUUUCUCCACAUAUCACUCUCUUGCCCCAUGCUGAACAUUGUUCCUGCUUUCGGGCCCUUGUACUUGUCAAAUUCUCAUCCAGGUAAUGUUCAACAUUUCUUUUGUUUAGAGUAUAUCAUCUUACUAUUUAUCAUUUAAAUGAAUCAAACACGAGAUGCAUGGAAAAAAUGGCAAAGUAGGCAUGAAAGAAAAACCUCGCAUUCAUUUCAUUUUUAAAAGAAAGCAACAAACAAAGGAAAUUGACAAAGAAAGUUUAACAAAUAAAACGUCAUAAAGAAAAGAAAGCGAAUUCAAUGGCCAGAAAUGCUCUAGAUAUCCAAUGCAUGAACUUCUCCACGUUUCUUUGUCCUGGAUCCAUUCAAGCACGGUUUCUUGUCUAGAAGGUUUCGAGCUUCUGAGAAUGCUUCAAAUAUUGCAACUUCGUCAUUCAACUCACUGUUCAAGUCAUCUUGCACCUUAAGUUCGAGCUCAUUUCAUUAGGACGCCCUUUCGGGUUUUCAUCCUAAUCCUUUUUGUUUAUCAAGACGCCCUUUUUCGAGUUUUCAUCUUGAUUUUUCUUCUUUUUUUUACUUUUUUGCUUUUUUGUUUUUUUUUUUGUUUUUUUAUUUUUUUGUUGUUUUUCUCUCUCUUUUUUUUAGGCAUAAUAUUUCUUCACAGCAUCUGAGUUCACUGGAUUAGGUAAUUCUUUCCCGUCCAUCUCAGUGAGAAUCAGAGCCCCUCCUGAGAAUGCCCUCUUUACAACGUAUGAUCCUUCCCAAUUUGGUGACCAUUUUCCUAGAAAAUCCUUCUGUAUCGGGAGAAUCUUUCUCAGUACGAGCUCUCCUUCGCGAAAUUCUCUUGGCCGCACCUUUUUAUCAUGGGCCGUAAUCAUUCUCUUCUGGUACAUCUGUCCAUGACAAAUUGCCUUCAAGCGUUUCCCUUCAAUAAGGUUUAGCUGAUCAUAUCGAGCUCGAACCCACUCUGAUUCCUCUAACCUUGUCUUCAUCAAGACGCGCAGGGAUGGGAUCUCUACUUCGAUAGGCAGAAUGGCUUCCAUUCCAUAGACCAGAGAAAAAGGAGUUGCCCCCGUAGACGUCCGUACCGAGGUGCGAUAUGCGUACAAAGCGAAUGGUAGUUUAUCGUGCCAGUCUUUAUAUGUCUCAGUCAUCUUCCCAAUAAUCCUCUUAAUGUUCUUAUUAGCGGCUUCUACUGCUCCGUUCAUUUUUGGGCGAUAGGGCAAAAAAUUAUGAUGUUUUAUUUGGAAUUGCUCACAUACUUCUUUCAUCAUCUUGUUGUUCAAAUUUAAAGCAUUAUCUGAAAUGAUUCUUUCGGGUAGACCAUAUCGACAUAUAAUCUCCUUUUUUAAGAACCUACAGACUGCAGCCUUUGUCACAUUAGCAAACGAAGUGGCUUCUACCCAUUUUGUGAAGUAGUCUAUAACCACAAAGAUGAAUCGAUGCCCAUUGGAAGCUUUCGGGGAAAUUGGCCCUAUAACAUCCAUGCCCCACAUAGAAAAAGGCCACGGAGAAGUCAUGACAUGAAGGGGCGACGGAGCUGCAUGAAUUUUGUCGCCAUAAAUUUGACAUUUGUGGCACUUUCGUGCGUAACCAAUGCAAUCCCUUUCCAUCGUCAGCCAAUAAUAACCAAGUCUCAUAAUCUGCCUGGCCAUGGUGAAACCACUGGUAUGUGUUCCACAAAUUCCUUCAUGAACCUCUUCAAGUAUCUUUCUAGCUUCAACAGCGUCCACGCACCUCAGGAGCACUUGAUCUUUUCCCCUUUUGUAUAGAAUAUCCCCGUCAAGAACAAAUCCAAUCGCCAUUCUCCUGAUUGUUCUUUUGUCAUUCUCGUUUGUUUGCUCGGGGUACCUUUGAUUCUUGAUAUACUCCAAGAUAUCAUGGAACCAUGGUCGUCCAUCUGACUCCUCCUCAGUACUAAAACAGUGUGCAGGGGUCUCAUAUAUACUCAUUUGGAUAGGCAUUAUCUCAGUUUCUCUGUUUGCCUUGAACAUCGAAGCCAAGGUGGCUAGGGUAUCAGCUAGUUGGUUCUCUUCUUGUGGAAAGUAGUUAAAAGUCACUUCUCUGAAUUCUUUGACCAAUCUCGCAAUGAGAUCGUGAUACUUGACUAAUUUUGGAUCUCUCACUUCCCAAUCUCCACGAAUUUGAUAAAUGACUAAUGCUGAGUCCCCGUGCACUUCUAAGAUUUUGAUUUUCCUCUCGAUAGCUGCACGAAGCCCCAUGAUGCAAGCUUCAUAUUCCGCUAUAUUAUUGGUACAGAAGAAGUUCAAUCUGGCAGUGAGCGGGUAAUGAUUUCCUUCCGGUGACACCAAGACUGCUCCGAUCCCAUGCCCCAACGCAUUUGAUGCGCCAUCGAAGCUCAUCUUCCAUGAUUUCUCUUUUGAUGACUCACCCUUUUUUUCUGAAAUUCACAUCAAAUCUUCAUCUGGGAAAUCAAAUCUCAAAGGCUCGUAUUCCUCCGUUGUUCGACUUGCCAAGAAGUCAGCUAUUGCGCUUCACUUUAUCGACUUUUGGGUCACAUAUACAAUGUCAUAUUCAGUCAAUAGGAUCUACCAUCGGGCCAUUCUCCUUGAGAGUGCAUGUGACUCCAUCAUGUACUUUAUUGGGUCCAGUUUCGAAAUUAACCAUGUCGUAUGAUACAACAUGUAUUGUCUGAGCCUUCGAACAGUCCAAAUCAACGCACAACAAAAUUUUUCAAUUGAAGGGUACUUUGCCUCAUACUCUGUGAACUUCUUGCUCAGGUAGUAAAUUGCCUUUUCUUUUUUCCCUGACUCAUCAUGUUGUCCCAGUACGCAACCCAUUGAGUUCUCAAACACGGUCAGGUAUAAUAUUAAGGGUUUUUCAGGGGUUGGCGGUACUAGUACCGGAGGAUUAGACAAAUACCGUUUUAUCUUAUCGAAGGCCGCUUGGCACUCCUCGUUCCAUUCUCCGGGGUUAUGUUUUCGAAGGAGUCGAAAAAUUGGGUCGCACUGAUUGGUAAGUUGAGCAAUGAAUCGAGCAAUGUAAUUCAACCUUCCUAAAAAUCCUCUGACUUCUUUCUGUGUGCGCGGGGGAGGCAGUUCUUGUAUAGCUUUUAUCUUGUUUGGAUCAACCUCGAUACCUCUUUCACUAACAAUGAAACCUAGCAGUUUUUCUGAGGUAGCCCCAAACGUACAUUUGGCCGGGUUAAGCUUCAACUGGAACUUUCUUAAUCUUUCAAACAGCUUCCUAAGACUCCCAACAUGCUCUCUUUCUUCCCGAGAUUUGGCAAUCAUAUCAUCGACAAAAACUUCAAUUUCUUUGUGCAUCAUAUCAUGGAAUAACGUCACCAUGGCUCUCUGAUAUGUUGCCCCAGCAUUCUUUAAUCCGAACGGCAUUACCUUAUAGCAGAAGGUUCCCCACAUUGUUAUGAAUGUAGUUUUCUCCAUGUCCUCGGGAGCCAUCUUUACUUGAUUAUAACUUGAGAAGCCAUCCAUGAAAUAAAAUAGAGAAUGUUUACCGUAUUAUCUACCAAAGUGUCGAUGUGUGGCAAAAGAAAGUUAUCCUUAGGGCUUGCUUGAUUCAGAUCACGAUAAUCUACGCACAUUCGCACCUUGCCAUCUUUCUUCGGCACUGGGACUAUGUUAGCCACCCACUCUGGAUAUUUGGAGACUUGUAGGAAGCCAUCGUCAAAUUGUUUCUUGACUUCUUCUUUUAUCUUUAACAGCAUUUCAGGUCUCAUCCUUCUUAACUUCUGUUGAACGAACUUGCAUUCUGGUUUCAGUGGGAGCUUAUGAACCACCACAUCCUCAUUCAACCCUGGCAUGUCCUGAUACGACUAGGCGAAUACAUCUUUGUACUCACAGAGCAAGGCGAUCAAAUUCUGUUUGGUGUUAUCUGAAAUGGAAAUCUCAAUAUUCACUUCUUGUUUCUUUUCUUCACUUCCCAAGUUCACUGUCUCAACAGAUUCUUGAUGGGGUAGAAUCUAUUUCUUUUCUUGUUCAACCAUUCUCAGUAAGUCAGGAGGCGAGACACAAUCUUCAGCAUCUUCCUCGGCUUCAAAUUCUCCUAAACAAACAGCCUUCUCAAAAUCGAUUUCAGGACUUGUAACGGGAUUGUUCAUGUCAUGAAUAUCUGAGCACUUGAAAGGCGGAUAGAAAAGACUGCUAUAGGAGAGCAUCAAAGUAUUGGAAUCAACAAACACAAUGUUAUGGAAUGAGAUAUAUGGAGAGAAAGGAUAUGAAGCGAUGAGGGUAAUUAUGAAACUGAUUCUGUGCAACUUUCUCUCAGUAUUCCCUGCUCUACUAAGAUACCUGUAUAUGUCAUGUAUGAUGUUAUUAUGAUAUGCACGUGUUUGUCCUAAAUGCUUUCGUGUCUACAUGAUCAUGCCAUGCACCCUAGGCUGUUUGUCACAUGCCCCACUUUUGAUUUUCGUGAGGUUCCGCAUUCAUUUCCUCAAUUCCUGACUUUUCUCUCCAGUUUUGUACUCAUCCUCAAGUUCUGUGAGUAAUUCACAUUUCUCCACAUAUCACUCUCUUGCCCCAUGCUGAACAUUGUUCCUGCUUUCGGGCCCUUGUACUUGUCAAAUUCUCAUCCAGGUAAUGUUCAACAUUUCUUUUGUUUAGAGUAUGUCAUCUUACUAUUUAUCAUUUAAAUGAAUCAAACACGAGAUGCAUGGAAAAAAUGGCAAAGUAGGCAUGAAAGAAAAACCUCACAUUCAUUUCAUUUUUAAAAGAAAGCAACAAACAAAGGAAAUUGACAAAGAAAGUUUAACAAAUAAAACGUCAUAAAGAAAAGAAAGCGAAUUCAAUGGCCAGAAAUGCUCUAGAUAUCCAAUGCAUGAACUUCUCCAUGUUUCUUUGUCCUGGAUCCAUUCAAGCACGGUUUCUUGUCUAGAAGGUUUUGAGCUUCUGAGAAUGCUUCAAAUAUUGCAACUUCGUCAUUCAACUCACUGUUCAAGUCAUCUUGCACCUUAAGUUCGAGCUCAUUUCAUUAGGACGCCCUUUCGGGUUUUCAUCCUAAUCCUUUUUGUUUAUCAAGACGCCCUUUUUCGAGUUUUCAUCUUGAUUUUUCUUCUUUUUUUUACUUUUUUGCUUUUUUGUUUUUUUUGUUUUUUUAUUUUUUUGUUGUUUUUUUUCUCUUUUUUUUAGGCAUAAUAUUUCUUCACAGCAUCUGAGUUCACUGGAUUAGGUAAUUCUUUCCCGUCCAUCUCAGUGAGAAUCAGAGCCCCUCCUGAGAAUGCCCUCUUUACAACGUAUGAUCCUUCCCAAUUUGGUGACCAUUUUCCUAGAAAAUCCUUCUGUAUCGGGAGAAUCUUUCUCAGUACGAGCUCUCCUUCGCGAAAUUCUCUUGGCCGCACCUUUUUAUCAUGGGCCGUAAUCAUUCUCUUCUGGUACAUCUGUCCAUGACAAAUUGCCUUCAAGCGUUUCCCUUCAAUAAGGUUUAGCUGAUCAUAUCGAGCUCGAACCCACUCUGAUUCCUCUAACCUUGUCUUCAUCAAGACGCGCAGGGAUGGGAUCUCUACUUCGAUAGGCAGAAUGGCUUCCAUUUCAUAGACCAGAGAAAAAGGAGUUGCCCCCGUAGACGUCUGUACCGAGGUGCGAUAUGCGUACAAAGCGAAUGGUAGUUUAUCGUGCCAGUCUUUAUAUGUCUCAGUCAUCUUCCCAAUAAUCCUCUUAAUGUUCUUAUUAGCGGCUUCUACUGCUCCAUUCAUCUUUGGGCGAUAGGGCAAAAAAUUAUGAUGUUUUAUUUGGAAUUGCUCACAUACUUCUUUCAUCAUCUUGUUGUUCAAAUUUAAAGCACUAUCUGAAAUGAUUCUUUCGGGUAGACCAUAUCGACAUAUAAUCUCCUUUUUUAAGAACCUACAGACUGCAGCCUUUGUCACAUUAGCAAACGAAGUGGCUUCUACCCAUUUUGUGAAGUAGUCUAUAACCACAAAGAUGAAUCGAUGCCCAUUGGAAGCUUUCGGGGAAAUUGGCCUUAUAACAUCCAUGCCCCACAUAGAAAAAGGCCACGGAGAAGUCAUGACAUGAAGGGGCGACGGAGCUGCAUGAAUUUUGUCGCCAUAAAUUUGACAUUUGUGGCACUUUCGUGCGUAACCAAUGCAAUCCCUUUCCAUCGUCAGCCAAUAAUAACCAAGUCUCAUAAUCUGCCUGGCCAUGGUGAAACCACUGGCAUGUGUUCCACAAAUUCCUUCAUGAACCUCUUCAAGUAUCUUUCUAGCUUCAACAGCGUCCACGCACCUCAGGAGCACUUGAUCUUUUCCCCUUUUGUAUAGAAUAUCCCCGUCAAGAACAAAUCCAAUCGCCAUUCUCCUGAUUGUUCUUUUGUCAUUCUCGUUUGUUUGCUCGGGGUACCUUUGAUUCUUGAUAUACUCCAAGAUAUCAUGGAACCAUGGUCGUCCAUCUGACUCCUCCUCAGUACUAAAACAGUGUGCAGGGGUCUCAUAUAUACUCAUUUGGAUAGGCAUUAUCUCAGUUUCUCUGUUUGCCUUGAACAUCGAAGCCAAGGUGGCUAGGGCAUCAGCUAGUUGGUUCUCUUCUUGUGGAAAGUAGUUAAAAGUCACUUCUCUGAAUUCUUUGACCAAUCUCGCAAUGAGAUCGUGAUACUUGACUAAUUUUGGAUCUCUCACUUCCCAAUCUCCACGAAUUUGAUAAAUGACUAAUGCUGAGUCCCCGUGCACUUCUAAGAUUUUGAUUUUCCUCUCGAUAGCUGCACGAAGCCCCAUGAUGCAAGCUUCAUAUUCCGCUAUAUUAUUGGUACAGAAGAAGUUCAAUCUGGCAGUGAGCGGGUAAUGAUUUCCUUCCGGUGACACCAAGACUGCUCCGAUCCCAUGCCCCAACGCAUUUGAUGCGCCAUCGAAGCUCAUCUUCCAUGAUUUCUCUUUUGAUGACUCACCCUUUUUUUCUGAAAUUCACAUCAAAUCUUCAUCUGGGAAAUCAAAUCUCAAAGGCUCGUAUUCCUCCGUUGUUCGACUUGCCAAGAAGUCAGCUAUUGCGCUUCACUUUAUCGACUUUUGGGUCACAUAUACAAUGUCAUAUUCAGUCAAUAGGAUCUACCAUCGGGCCAUUCUCCUUGAGAGUGCAUGUGACUCCAUCAUGUACUUUAUUGGGUCCAGUUUCGAAAUUAACCAUGUCGUAUGAUACAACAUGUAUUGUCUGAGCCUUCGAACAGUCCAAAUCAACGCACAACAAAAUUUUUCAAUUGAAGGGUACUUUGCCUCAUACUCUGUGAACUUCUUGCUCAGGUAGUAAAUUGCCUUUUCUUUUUUCCCUGACUCAUCAUGUUGUCCCAGUACGCAACCCAUUGAGUUCUCAAACACGGUCAGGUAUAAUAUUAAGGGUUUUUCAGGGGUUGGCGGUACUAGUACCGGAGGAUUAGACAAAUACCGUUUUAUCUUAUCGAAGGCCGCUUGGCACUCCUCGUUCCAUUCUCCGGGGUUAUGUUUUCGAAGGAGUCGAAAAAUUGGGUCGCACUGAUUGGUAAGUUGAGCAAUGAAUCGAGCAAUGUAAUUCAACCUUCCUAAAAAUCCUCUGACUUCUUUCUGUGUGCGCGGGGGAGGCAGUUCUUGUAUAGCUUUUAUCUUGUUUGGAUCAACCUCGAUACCUCUUUCACUAACAAUGAAACCUAGCAGUUUUUCUGAGGUAGCCCCAAACGUACAUUUGGCCGGGUUAAGCUUCAACUGGAACUUUCUUAAUCUUUCAAACAGCUUCCUAAGACUCCCAACAUGCUCUCUUUCUUCCCGAGAUUUGGCAAUCAUAUCAUCGACAUAAACUUCAAUUUCUUUGUGCAUCAUAUCAUGGAAUAACGUCACCAUGGCUCUCUGAUAUGUUGCCCCAGCAUUCUUUAAUCCGAACGGCAUUACCUUAUAGCAGAAGGUUCCCCACAUUGUUAUGAAUGUAGUUUUCUCCAUGUCCUCGGGAGCCAUCUUUACUUGAUUAUAACUUGAGAAGCCAUCCAUGAAAUAAAAUAGAGAAUAUUUGCCGUAUUAUCUACCAAAGUGUCGAUGUGUGGCAAAAGAAAGUUAUCCUUAGGGCUUGCUUGAUUCAGAUCACGAUAAUCUACGCACAUUCGCACCUUGCCAUCUUUCUUCGGCACUGGGACUAUGUUAGCCACCCACUCUGGAUAUUUGGAGACUUGUAGGAAGCCAUCGUCAAAUUGUUUCUUGACUUCUUCUUUUAUCUUUAACAGCAUUUCAGGUCUCAUCCUUCUUAACUUCUGUUGAACGAACUUGCAUUCUGGUUUCAGUGGGAGCUUAUGAACCACCACAUCCUCAUUCAACCCUGGCAUGUCCUGAUACGACCAGGCGAAUACAUCUUUGUACUCACAGAGCAAGGCGAUCAAAUUCUGUUUGGUGUUAUCUGAAAUGGAAAUCUCAAUAUUCACUUCUUGUUUCUUUUCUUCACUUCCCAAGUUCACUGUCUCAACAGAUUCUUGAUGGGGUAGAAUCUGUUUCUUUUCUUGUUCAACCAUUCUCAGUAAGUCAGGAGGCGAGACACAAUCUUCAGCAUCUUCCUCGGCUUCAAAUUCUCCUAAACAAACAGCCUUCUCAAAAUCGAUUUCAGGACUUGUAACGGGAUUGUUCAUGCCAUGAAUAUCUGAGCACUUGAAAGGCGGAUAGAAAAGACUGCUAUAGGAGAGCAUCAAAGUAUUGGAAUCAACAAACACAAUGUUAUGGAAUGAGAUAUAUGGAGAGAAAGGAUAUGAAGCGAUGAGGGUAAUUAUGAAACUGAUAGAAAUGAAAAGAUCAUGACAAAAUGCAUCUUCAUUAAUGUUCAUUGAAAUGAUAAAGAGCAAACAUAAGCUCUUACAAAAGGAAUCCCACUAUUUAGGGGCACACAAAAUAAAUGGAGAAGUAACAUUGGGCAUUACUCUGGAGAGGACUUAGAAACUACAAGAAGGCCCACAGCAGUCCAAUUGUUCAAAACAUAUCCUGGAAGACAAGGGUGUAUCAUUGAAACAUCCUCAAUUGUAUCACUCUCGUUGAGCUCAGCAUCCAUAGUUCUAGCUCUUAAAUGCGUUCUAUAAGAAUGACGUGAUUCCAGACUUGUAGUGUCACAAUUGUGGAUUAUGCGAUUCCAGCCUUAGUGAAUGGUUAGGGUGAUAUGUACAUACAAUGAAUGAAUGAAUGAAUGAAUAACCAAUGGAUGCUAGUCAUGCGUAAAUAUGCAAAAAAUGGUGUUUAUUUCAAGAUAGCCCCAUAUUUUGGCGUUUCAAUUAUCAAAAGAGUCGAUUACAAAAUAUUUUGUCGAUGAAGAUGCUCAUAGUGUUUGAGUCUCAUUGUUUCCAGAUCCUAGUCAAGUCUUCGAGGUUAUUCUGUAAAGCAUUCGAAGUCAUAUGCUCAGGAAGAUCGGAGAUAUAUCUUUCUUUUAAACUAUCCCCUUUUGCUUUUUGGGUCCUCAAAGACCAGUCUCGGACUACGGUAUUUUUCUCGGUUACUUGUGUAAUUGACUCCUCCAUCAGAAACCCGUUUUUGGCAACCAAUCUCUAAUCAACACCUUCCUAAUGAGAUGUCUACGGUGCAUUAUGAAAAAUAAAAUAAAGAACAAAUAAUCUUGGUUAGAGAUCACAACAUAUAUAAACAGAAGAAAAAAGAAAAAUAAAGACUAUGGAAAAUUUAACAAAUUAAGUUAUUCAAUCAUGCAAUUUGGUGAAACGGACUGGCAUUUUUUUUUUGCCCCAACAUGCUUUACAAGAAACCUACGCCACAUACCAUCAAACAAUCUACCCGACCCAAUUUAUUAAAUAGACCCAAUUCAUUCGCAAAUAAGUGUAAAUGUAAAAGAAAUAAAAGGUAAGAGGCGUUUCUCCCGUGUACUUAUUUUGGUAACUAUCAAACGGACAGAGGUUCGGCAUGGCUCUAAUUGGGUGGCUCGUACGGUUCACUAUAUGUGGUUUUGGUUAUAGAAAGGUACUUGAAUUGUCCAUACUGUCACCUACUAAGGUUAGUACGGAGCCUCGGUUAUCGCCCGUCAUGGGCUUGCGAGUUCAAUUCGAGGGAUUACAUUUACUUAUGCCUAUGCGGAGGGACAAGUUAACUCACGAAAGCAGAAGUCAUAUGUAACCCGGAAAUAAUUACUAGCCUGUGCGGAGGGACGAGUUAGCUCACGAAGGCGUAGCGUUUACUUCCACUUAAACGGACGGAGCCUGGGUAGAGAGCUCAUGUUAUGCAAAAAAUGCAAGUGCACGGUGUGCGAGGAGAAACUCACAAACCUUUUAAAUUUUAUUUUUUACUAAAAUAACUAAAAAAACGUAAAACUUAAAGCUGAAAAAAAACAGAAAGACAAAACAAGUUAGAAAAAUAUUAAUUAAAAAAACCGAAUGCAAAUGCAUGACUUUUCAAAAAAUAAAAUUCAAGGAUCACGAUUAAAAAUUAAUUUGAACAAAGGAUUUUAAAAAUUUGACAACACGCGUUUAACAUCAGACUCGACUCUCAAAAACAUUUUGUCCCCAAUGGAGUCGCCAGCUGUAGCGACUUAAAAAUUUCAGGCACGGGCGCUAAUCGAAAUGAUUGUUGAAAAUUUGAAAACGGAGUUUAGAUUUUAUUUGCAAAAGGAGUCGCCACCGAUAUUUUUUUAGGUGUGAUCGGACACCUAAUAAAUUCUCUUUUUAGAAGAAAAAUUUAUUUUUAAAUUUUCCUAAAAAAGAGGUAAUUUUAGGUCUGCGUGAAAAUCCAGAGAAAAUUAGGGUUCGGGAGUCAGUUACGCGCGAGGAAGGUAUUAGCACCCUCGCGACGCCCAAAAUUGGUAUCUCGUUAAACGCGCGUUGUCUUAAUUUUCAAAAAUACAAGUUCAAUUUAAUAUUUAAUUGUGAUCCGAUUGAAACUUGAGAAAACUUUUUUUCUUUUUAAACACGAGAACUUUGAAACACAAUAAUAAUUUUUGAAAACACGAAGAUUUUUGAAACACGAAAAUUUUUUGAAAACACGGAAUUUUUUUGAAAACAAGGAAAUUUUCGAUACAUGAGAAUUUUUUGACACGAAAAAUUUUGAAAACACGAAAAUUUCGAAAACAUAAUUUUUUUUAAAAACAUGAAUUUUUUUUAAAAAAACACGAGAAUUUUUUGAAAACACCAAAACAUGAAAUUUUUGAAAACACGGGAACUUUUUUGAAAACACGAAAAUUUUUGAAACAUGAGAAUUUUUUGACACUAAAAAUUUUGAAAACACGAAAAUUUCGAAAACAUGAAUUUUUUAAAAAUACGAAUUUUUUUAAAAACACGAGAAAUUUUUUGAAAACAUGAAAACAUGAAAAUUUUGAAAACAUGAAAAUUUUUGAAACACGAGAAUUUUUUUUGAAAACACGAAAACACGAAAAUUUUUUUAAAACACGAGAAUUUUUGAAAACACGAAAUUUUUUUUAUUCACGAGAAUUGUUGAAACACGGAAUUUUUUUAAGAAGUACCGUAUUUAACACGAAUCAAUGAUAUUCAUCCCUACAUGGUGAUGAAAUCAUCGAAUUAGUGCAAAAUCGAUUCAACUUAAUAUUUAAUCGUGAUUUUAUUAAAACACGAGAAUUUAAAAAAACACGAGAAUUUUAGAAUAUUUUCGAUUUUUUUUNNNNNNNNNNNNNNNNNNNNNNNNNNNNNNNNNNNNNNNNNNNNNNNNNNNNNNNNNNNNNNNNNNNNNNNNNNNNNNNNNNNNNNNNNNNNNNNNNNNNAACAAUUUAAUGUUAAAUUGAUUCGUUGCCUUAUUUAUUGAAAUUACUUAAAAUAAAAUAAAAUUGAAAUUGAAUUAAAUUAAAAAUAUAAAUGCAAAAAUAUAAAAAUGCAUAAAAGUACAAAUAAUACUAAAACGGAAUAGCAUAAAAAUACGGGUAUUAAAUUAAAAGUGAAAUAAACAAAAUUACCAGAAAUAUCCAAAACACGAGUUUAGUCGAACGGGUUACCAAAUUGAACCCUUUUCUUUUUUUUUUUCUUCCUUUUUUUUCUGCUGCUGGGCCGGCCUGUUGGACUGCUGGGCAAACUGGGCCUGGCGCUGUGGGCCUUCUGGGCUGGUCUGCUGCUGCCUAGAUGCCUGCUGGGCCUUUGCUGGAAAUGGGCUGCUGUUGGCCUGCUAACAAAAAUGGCCUGCUGUGUUUUUUUUUGCUGUUUGCUAUUUUUUUAGGGGCUGCUAUUUUUUUGGGCUGCUGGGCUGCUGUUUUUUAUUUGGGCUGCUGGGCUGAUGCGGGUCGGGCCUGGUGCCGGUCGGGUCGGGUCGGGUCGACCCGACUGAUGGUAUGUUUUUCUUUUUUUCUAUUUUAUUUCCCUUUUUCCUUCUUUUUCUUUCUUUUUUCUUCCUUUUUUUCUUUCUUCUUCGGGUCACCCCUAGCCCUUUUUUGCGCCGUCAACGACGGUCCCUCCGUCCGGUGGUGCGGUGGCUGGCGCGCCUCCCUUCUCUUCCUCUCUCUCUCUUUUUCUUUCUUCUCUUCUUUCUUUUCUUUCUUCUCUUCCUUCUUUUUGGCCGCUGUUUUUUUGCUUGCUAUUUUUAUAUUUUUUGCUUGUUGCUUUGUUUUGCUAGGUGUUGGCAAUGGUGGUGUAGGGCGGUGGACACGGUAGCGCUACGACGACGGUGGCUGCAGAAGGAAUCGGCCGAAUGGGAGUGUUUUUUUUUUGCUUGAAAUCUUGCUGUUUUUUUUUUUGCUUUCGUUCACAACAAUUUUUUUUGAACCCCCUUCUUCCUCUCAUCUUCUUCUUUUAAAUCCUUCAAUUUUGUCUUCUUUCCUUUGUUUUCAGGUGGUAGGGGAACAUCAUUGGCCUAGGGAGGCUGCUGGAGUAGCUGGAGGUGGGUGAAGCACGCUUGGCUGCCGACUGGCAGAUUUGACAUGUCCAUGGGGACCAAAUUGUAAAGGGUGUAAAGUUUAUGGGGCAAAAGUGCAAUUUUAGCAAAAAUAUGGGCCAAAAUGUAAUUUCUUGAGAGUUUAGGGGUUAAAGGGCAAUUUUAAGAAAAUUUAAGGGCCGAAAUGUAAUUUUAGAAAAUUUUGGGUCAAAAUGUGAAUUUUAAAAAAAGUUUGGGGUCAAAAUGGAAAUUUCAAAAAGUAUUGGGGUUAAACUGUAAUUUUUAUUUUUUGCUUUUUUUUCAAAAUUUUAUUAUUACUAAUUUAUUAAUAUUUAAAACAAAAAUUAAAACAAUUAAAAAUGAGCUAAAACAAACUCAAAAUUUAAUCCUAAUGGGCCCAAUCAUCGGGCCCAUAUGAGACCAGCCCGGCCCGAAAUCCUACCCGGGCAAAAUUCAGUGAUUACAAAUAUAUGAUAGUGAUAUAAAUAGAAUAAAAUUA